AUUGAACGCUGGCGGCAGGCCUAACACAUGCAAGUCGAACGAGUGGCGGACGGGUGAGUAAUGUCUGGGAAACUGCCUGAUGGAGGGGGAUAACUACUGGAAACGGUAGCUAAUACCGCAUACCAUCAGAUGUGCCCAGCUGGGAUGAGCUCGUUGGUGGGGUAACGGCUCACCAAGGCGACGAUCCCUAGCUGGUCUGAGAGGAUGACGAGCAAGACUGGAACGGAGACACUGUACAGACUCGUACGGGAGGCAGCAGUGGUGAAUAUUGCACAAUGGGCGCAAGGCUGAUGCAGCCAUGCCGCGUGUAUGAAGAAGGCCUUCAGGUUGUAAAGUACUUUCAGCGAGGAGGCGUUACCCGCAGAAGAAGCACCGGCUAACUCCGUGCCAGCAGCCGCGGUAAUUC
rnacentral:rRNA from 1 species